GGGUUUCUCUUCUUGUUUCUGCAACUGUGCUGCACACCCAAGGCUAGCUGACCACAGAACUUCCAAGGAUUUGCCUUUCAUCUCGCGUCUCAGGCUGAAAUUGAGUCGUAUUGCCGUGGGUUCCAUGGCGUCUGGCAGAAGGACACGGUCAUCUCCUGACGGUAUUUGUGAACAGGACCUUAUGUUUGUGAGUGGAACCUUAUUUGGAAACAGGAAACUGGUCCCAGUGCAAUGUGGCCCGUGCUCUUCUAGGGAGCUGAAGACAACAUGAACAGCAAGAAUGUGAGCAAAGACAGAAGCUACUGAAGUGAUACGUCUGAAGGUUGCUGUCGGGUCUCCGGGAGCUGGGAUGGAGACCGAGGGCACACUCUACUCAAAGCCUCUGCAAAGAGCAGCAUGACAGAAGACACUUCUGUGUGAGCCGCCCAAUUUGGGGCUCUCUUUGGUCUAAAGAAUUUUUCCAAAUUUGUUGGUGGAUAGUCAGUUGGAUUUGAACCCAGGACCUCAUACAGGCCAGGCAAGCCCUGUACCACAAAGCUGCAUCUCUAGAUUUUUACACACAGAAAGCUGAAACAGUGUAGAGUGUGCAAACAAACAGAAAGAGGGUGCCGUAGAGGGAAGGUCCCGGGUAUCAUCUGUGUGGAGCACUUAUGUAAACCCACAAUGUUGGGGAGCUGAUGGAAGGAAGCUCACACUCUUUGGAGCUUUCCCCCCAAGAGUGCAAACCAAAUAAACCAAUUUCUAACUU